rfam:Clostridiales bacterium 41_12_two_minus Ley3_66761_scaffold_25847, whole genome shotgun sequence.
GGUCAAGCUAAUAAGAGUGCAGGGUGAAUGCCUUGGCAUCAGGUGCCGACGAAGGACGUGAUAAGCUGCGAUAAGCUGCGGUUAGGAGCAAAUAUCCAUUUGACCCGCAGAUUUCCGAAUGUGGAAACACAACUAUNNNNNNNNNNNNNNNNNNNNAAAUACAUAGCACGGUGGGGGGAUACCCGCUGAACUGAAACAUCUAAGUAGGCGGAGGAAGAGAAAGAAACAUCGAUUUUCUAAGUAGCGGCGAGCGAAAGGGAAAGAGGCCAAACCGAGAGUAGUAAUACUUUCGGGGUUGAGGACUGAGGAAUCCAUUGUCAAGUUUUAGCAGAAUAGAUUGGGAAAUCUAACCAGAGAGGGUGAUAGUCCCGUAAGCGAAAGAAUGAGACAGGAGUCAGGAUCCAGAGUACCGGCGAACACGAGGAAUUUGCCGGGAAGCCGGGGGGACCACCCCCCAAGCCUAAAUACAACCUGAUGACCGAUAGUGAAGCAGUACUGUGAAGGAAAGGUGAAAAGGACCCCGGGAGGGGAGUGAAAAGAACCUGAAACCCUGUAUUUACAAGCAGAUAGAGCACAAUAUUGGUGCGAUAUCGUACUUUUUGUAGAACGGUCCGGCGAGUGUAUGUAUGCAGCGAGGUUAAGUUUUUAAGAAACGGAGCCGAAGGGAAACCGAGUGUUAAUAGCGCGUGAAGUUGUAUGUAUACGACCCGAAACCGAGUGAUCUACCCUUGGACAGGUUGAAGCGGAAGUAAAAUUUCGUGGAGGACCGAACUCACUGCUGUUGAAAAAGUAGGAGAUGAGCUGAGGGUAGCGGAGAAAUUCUAAUCGAACUCGGAGAUAGCUGGUUCUCCCCGAAAUAGCUUUAGGGCUAGCCUUACAUUAGUUUAGCGGAGGUAAAGCACUGAAUGAGCUAGGGGCCGUAUUGGUUACCGAACUCUAUCAAACUCUGAAUGCCGCAUAAAUGAUGUGUAGGAGUCAGACUGUGAGAGAUAAGUUCCAUAGUCAAAAGGGAAACAGCCCAGACCCACAGCUAAGGUCCCAAAAUGGAUUUAAGUGGAAAAGGAUGUCCGAAUGCGCAGACAACCAGGAUGUUGGCUUAGAAGCAGCCACACAUUAAAAGAGUGCGUAAUAGCUCACUGGUCGAGUGACCGGGCGCCGAAAAUUUAACGGGGCUAAAAUUCAUACCGAAGCUUGGGCAAGUAUGUGUUCUGUUUAGUUAUUAAUGUUGAGCAUUGGUCGGGUAGGUACGACGUAGUCGUAGCUGACCAAAUAUGUGCUCUGAUGACAAAGAACAGUUAAAUUCAUUAAAAAUUGCGCAGCAAUUUUUAAUCAAAUUACUCUCAGGGAUAAAAUUCAUUAAUGACUGAGCAGAGCACAUAUUUGGGUAGGGGAGCGUUGUGUAGUAGGACGAAGUCGGACCGAAAGGACCGGUGGACGAGGCACAAGUGAGAAUGCCGGAAUGAGUAGCGAGAAUUAUGUGAGAAUCAUAAUGGUCGAAAAUCUAAGGUUUCCUGAGGAAGGUUCGUCCGCUCAGGGUAAGUCGGGAGCUAAGGNNNCUAAGGUUUCCUGAGGAAGGUUCGUCCGCUCAGGGUAAGUCGGGAGCUAAGGCGAGGCCGAAAGGCGUAGUCGAUGCACAAACGGUAGAUAUUCCGUUACCACCGAAACUGUUAAGUACAGGGACGCAGGAACAUAACCGGACCACACCGUUGGUUGAGUGUGGCGUAAGGGAGCGAAAAAUAGUAGCGAAGCCGGUGAUUGUACACUGACGAGAAAAGCUGUAUGGAUUGGUUAGGUGCCCGUACCGCAAACCGACACAGGUAGAUGAGGAGAGAAUCCUAAGACCAACGGGAGAAGCAUUGUUAAGGAACUCGGCAAAAUGACCCCGUAACUUCGGGAGAAGGGGUGCCUGCGAAAGCAGGCCGCAGAGAAUAGUCCCAAGCGACUGUUUAGCAAAAACACAGGUCUAUGCUAAGUCGAAAGACGACGUAUAUGGGCUGACGCCUGCCCGGUGCCGGAAGGUUAAGGGGAACGGUUAGACAAUAAGUCGAAGCUGUGAACUUAAGCCCCGGUAAACGGCGGCCGUAACUAUAACGGUCCUAAGGUAGCGAAAUUCCUUGUCAGGUAAGUUCUGACCCGCACGAAUGGCGUAAAACGAUUUGGGAGCUGUCUCGACAAUGUGCCCGGCGAAAUUGUAGUACCGGUGAAGAUGCCGGUUACCUGCGACAAGACGGAAAGACCCCAUGGAGCUUUACUGCAGCUUGAUAUUGAGUUUCGAUAUAUGAUGUACAGGAUAGGUGGGAGGCUGAGAACUCUUGACGCCAGUUGAGAGGGAGCCGCUGUUGGGAUACCACCCUUCGUGUAUUGGAAUUCUAACCGGAGGCCAUGAAACUGGUCACGGGACACUGUCAGGCGGGCAGUUUGACUGGGGCGGUCGCCUCCAAAAAGGUAACGGAGGCGCUCAAAGGUUGGC